rnacentral:rRNA from 1 species
AGUGAACGCUGGCGGCAGGCCUAACACAUGCAAGUCGAGCGGCAGCGGGUCCUUCGGGAUGCCGGCGAGCGGCGGACGGGUGAGGAAUGCGUCGGAAUCUGCCUUUUUGUGGGGGAUAACGUAGGGAAACUUACGCUAAUACCGCAUACGACCUACGGGUGAAAGUGGGGGACCGCAAGGCCUCACGCAGAAAGAUGAGCCGACGUCGGAUUAGCUAGUUGGCGGGGUAAAGGCCCACCAAGGCGACGAUCCGUAGCUGGUCUGAGAGGAUGAUCAGCCACACUGGAACUGAGACACGGUCCAGACUCCUACGGGAGGCAGCAGUGGGGAAUAUUGGACAAUGGGCGCAAGCCUGAUCCAGCCAUGCCGCGUGUGUGAAGAAGGCCUUCGGGUUGUAAAGCACUUUUGUCCGGAAAGAAAUCCUGUCGGCUAAUACCCGGCGGGGAUGACGGUACCGGAAGAAUAAGCACCGGCUAACUUCGU